CGAUCCUCUCAUCUCAGCCUCUUGAGUAGCUGGAACCACAGAUUGUUCAUUUGGUCGAAGUGUUUAACCCUCCCAGAUAGAUGAGAACCAUCCCUUGUCAAGGACAUGAGUGACUAUGAAGGCUGGCUGCAAACUCAAAAAAGGACUGAGUCAGAAGGGUUCCGAGAAGCGGCAAAGCUAAUGCUCUGAAGGAGGAAAAGAAAUAUGUUGCGAUGUUCUCAAGAC
rnacentral:lncRNA from 1 species